CGAACAAGAGAUUGACACACUUGUUUUAAAGGUUGGUGCAGGUACUUUCAAUUGAGUUAAUAAAGCAAUAGCUUUGGUAAUUUCCAUCAAGAGACUCGUUGAUAAACUCGAAGGCGUAGUCAAAUCAUUUUGCAAUGAUAACAAGCCGUCCGCUGAGAAAUCAUGAGGUUUCUUCAGUAAGUCGCCAAAAUUAACGUCGCUGAAGUUCAAUUUAUUCUGGAUUGCUUCAGUUAUAUCACGAGCUAAACUAACCGAAUAUAAACUGGAAUCGUCAGAUAUGUAACAAGAAGCAAGAGCAACCUUCGCAAGUUUUAAAAAAAGCUUUGGUUCAAUAGUGUUCCAGUUUAAAACCAACGUAUGUACGACUGCUAGCCCAUCGGUUUUCACAAGUUGCAGUAAUUUUUUCCAAACAAAAUCCCAGUUUUCUGAUAUCAAAUUCGGAUCAUUUGAUGAAUUAUUAAUAAAAACUGUUAUUAUUUCGUCCAUAAUGAAAACACAAUUUUUUGAGUCAAGGACCGGAAAAGCCAAAGAGAUAACAUCGCGUAUGGUAGCUGCUUCCAUUUCCUCUAAAUUAAUGGGUACAGCAGCAAAUUGUGAAAGCUUAUGAAAAACAGUAAACGUCCCGCUAUUCCAUUGUUGAAUCUCUGCAGGAGCUUGUGAAUUUUUGGUCAAUUGAUAUGCCAAAUCUACCAAAUCUGUUUCUUCAACUAUUUUUUUAGAGAAAAGAGAAUAGAACUCUGCCUCAUCUUUCAAUGAUGGAAGUUUGCAAUUCCAUAGUUUCAUAUUAGUAAGUCGAAGUUGACAUAACUCUUCAUCUGGUAAAACAAUAGGCUCUAUAUCAUUCACAGAAGCUUUUAUAUUACCAUAGUGUGAAUCAAUAUCUAUAUAUGGUAUGUAGCAUUCUGGAUCCGUCGUUUCAGGAA